rnacentral:misc_RNA from 1 species
UUUCCGUAGGUGAACCUGCGGAAGGAUCAUUAUUGUAUAACCGAGGUGCGAGGGCUGUCGCUGACCCGAAAGGUCGUGCACGCCCGAGUGCCCUCACACACAUCCAUCUCACCCCUAUGUGCACCACCGCGUGGGUCCCCCUUUGGCUUGUUCGGAGGGGGGCUUACGCUUUCACACAAACUUUGUAUGCAGUGUAGAAUGUAUUUUUUGUUUUUGCGAUCACGCAAUCAAUACAACUUUCAACAACGGAUCUCUUGGCUCUC